rnacentral:rRNA from 1 species
AACGAACGCUGGCGGCAGGCCUAACACAUGCAAGUCGAGCGCACCCUUCGGGGCGAGCGGCGGACGGGUUAGUAACGCGUGGGAAUGUACCCUUUUCUACGGAAUAGCCAUUGGAAACGAUGAGUAAUACCGUAUACGCCCUUUGGGGGAAAGAUUUAUCGGAGAAGGAUCAGCCCGCGUUAGAUUAGAUAGUUGGUGGGGUAAUGGCCUACCAAGUCUACGAUCUAUAGCUGGUUUUAGAGGAUGAUCAGCAACACUGGGACUGAGACACGGCCCAGACUCCUACGGGAGGCAGCAGUGGGGAAUCUUAGACAAUGGGCGCGAGCCUGAUCUAGCCAUGCCGCGUGAGUGAAGAAGGCCUUAGGGUCGUAAAGCUCUUUCGCCAGGGAUGAUAAUGACAGUACCUGGUAAAGAAACCCCGGCUAACUCCGUGCCAGCAGCCGCGGUAAUACGGAGGGGGUUAGCGUUGUUCGGAAUUACUGAGCGUAAAGCGCACGUAGGCGGAUUAGAAAGUAUGGGGUGGAAUCCCAGGGCUCAACCCUGGAACUGCCUCAUAAACUCCUAAUCUAGAAUUCGAGAGAGGUGAGUGGAAUUCCGAGUGUAGAGGUGAAAUUCGUA